UGAGCAUGUGUUGCAAAAAUAGAAAAAAAUGAUGCUGGACCAUCAGAUGAGAAAUCGAUGGCACAGGUCCGGACGGAGUGAUCUCUGCACAAAAUUUGCAAAAGGGUCCGAUUUGGUUUCGAUGCCCUCCCGAUUCAAUCCCAAAUCCCGUACGCAGCGGUGUCUCGCAGGACGAAAAAUCGUCCUCGUCGGCGGCGGCGGCGGCCCAGAUCCUGAGCCAAGCUAGGCUCCUGGAUCAGCUCAUGGACGUGCUCCCUCCCCCUCUUGCGACCCAGCACUAGCUCGACGGUGGUGGACUCCUCGCCUCCUUCCCGACCGGCCGCUUUUAGGUGCUACGAACACUCCACCAAGGUGGUUUGUUCUUCAGUAGGAAAGGGAAAUGUCACUCACUCUGGCUCUGCGGAGCGGCUCGAUGUCCCAUGAGACGUAGACCCCC